AGCAGGUGGCGUAGCGGUUAGUGCUUCCACCUUGCACGCGAAGGACUUGGGUUUUGAAUCCCACAUUCUGCUA
rnacentral:tRNA from 1 species